GUCUAUGACCACGCCACCCUGAACAUGCCCGAUCUCAUCUGAUCUCAGAAGCUAAACAGGGUUGGGCCUGGUUAGUACUUGGAUUGGGAGACCACCUAGGAAGACUGGGAGCUACAGGCA
rnacentral:rRNA from 1 species